rnacentral:SRP_RNA from 1 species
GCCAGGUGCACUGGUGCACGCCUAUAGUCCCAGCUACUCAAGAGGCUGAGGCAAGAGGAUCACUUGAACCCAAGGACUACUGGGCUAUGGUGCAAUAUACCAUUCAGUGUCCGCAGUAAGUUCGGCAUCAAUAUGGUGACCUCCUGGGAGUGGGGGACCAUCAGGUUGCCUAAGGAGGGGUAAACUGGCCCACGUCAGAUUGGAGCAGGUCAAAACUCAUGUGCUGAUCAAGAAUGGGAUUGCACCUGUGAAUAACCACAGCACUCCAGCCUGGGCAACAUAGAGAGAUUCUGCCUCUU